rnacentral:lncRNA from 1 species
CUUCUCGCUCGGAAUUCAAUCUCGAGUCUCCCUAUGCCCAUAUCAGAGCAAAAAGGCCGAUGAAUGAACUGGAAACCGCGGGCAAAACUCGGCCGAGCUGCCGCGACCAAACCCUGAAACCCUAUCCGAUGACCCCCUUCCUAUUUUCCGUUUCGCAUGAUUUUUUGACCAUUGUGUUCUCUGUCCUUUUUUGGUGCAGAUUAGCUUAAGGAAAACUUCGACCGCGAAGGAGGACCGACAAAGCCGCCGCACCCAAAAAGCUUAUACCAGUAGGAUUUUAAUUUUUUAUCUUUUUCGGCCAACCGAGACUUCCUAACUGCAUGUUUCGUAGGUUUAUGGCCAAAACCGGCAAGCUCGAG